AUGUACGAGCACAUGCACAUGUACAUACAAAUGCAAAAAAGGGGUGGGGUUGGGUGGGGGGCAUCACAGAAGAACCAGCUUUGCCUCGUAGCUGACUCUUUGUCAUUGCUGAAAAAAAUGCACCGAACCCAAAUGAAAGGCGUUCUGGUUGACGAGGAGAAUAUCUGUGAAUCGUGCCUUUCUCCCAUCCUUCCAACAGGUAAGGUGCUUAGAAGAAAAAUCACUCUCCCAAAAAAUAUGUUCAUGAUGAGUGGAAUUAAGAUUUUGAAUUAGCUAAUAAGCUCCUGAAAUAUAUACAGCUUCACAGUUGAAGGAUUUCAACUCCUUCCCCUGCUCUUGUGAAUGCUGCUGCUCCUGACAGAGUAGUGUGUCAACAUCAGCAAGCUUUGCAAGAACCCACAGGGUUCUUCAAACCCUGCCUUGGCCUCAGAGUUCUGGGAGUGUUGGCCUGAGAGCGAGUACUUCCAACAAGGCGAUACGAAUGGAUCCAGUUAGAGGCUAAUCUUUGAGAAUCUUCAAAAAUAAAGUAGAGUCAGAAUGCAAAGCCAACCAUCAAAUCCCACAUAUUUCGGUUCUGAGGCAGAAUCCUAUAUGGAUGUCUGGGGCAGUGAAGAAUGGCUUCAUCUUCACUGUCCUUGGAGGCACCCAGACUACCUUCAUGGAAACAGCACUCAGCAUCAAACAGACUCACCAUAGGAAGAAGCCUGUGUCUCUUUUUAGUAGAUUGUCAUAAUAAUAAAAUGGUCUGUAUCAAAAGACCAUUCAGACAUGAGAAAAGCAAACUCAUAAUUUGAAAGUAGAAAAGCAUAGCUGUCAGGGUACUUUAAAGCGCAAGUUCAGCCAUGGGAAAGCUCAAAAGUGUCACUGUCACAGACCACUGGUCUUAGGAACUAUGUGUUCCAAAGCUCAUAGAGCAAUGGGAAGUCGUUUCACCGGAGCCGCUCUUCCAGAAGGAGCAGCUUCUCAUUUUCAACACUUCUGUAAACACAGCCCUGUAUGUGCGCUUGCAGUGAAAGGGGUCACGAAUGCCCUGGUAAAGUUCAGUCCUCAGCUUCUCCUGUGGCAGGCAGUGUGUCUUGCAGAGCGCAUCUGGCCACACAGCAGAAGCAGAUCCGGACUGACUAAAACAGAAUAGUGAGUGUAGAAGCCUGGGAUCCUGACCCAGUUCUGCCUCUGCCUCAGCAAGAGAACUUGGCAGAUCGAAGGUGAACUGAAAAACAUUUUUAUCAAGCUACACGCUUGAUUUCAGUGUGUGUAGUUGGAAUCGAAUGGUCAGGAUACACACAGGGACACUAUGUAUUCUACUUUUUCUAAUAAGCAUCACAUUUGCUGUGAAACUGUGCUGCAUUAGUUAUCGUGGUAACUGAUGCUGAGGCCAGGCAAGUAGCCUGUAAUUGUGGUUCACAGCAAAGGUGAUUCUAGACCAGCUCUGUGCUUUUGUAAAGAAGCCUUGUCCAAAUGGAGCCUGUUGCUAGGAAUUUACUCCAGGGCUGGCUUAACUCUUCCUGGUCUGCCUGUUGCCUGAUGUUAUUCUCCUGUCCCUGCCCCUUGUAAUGCAGCCGAAGCCCUUCAGCGUGGUGGUCUUCCAUUGUCGGCACAUGUUCCACAAGGAGUGCCUACCUAUGCCAAGCCUGGUAAGUUGUCAGCCCAAUCGCUGCCAAAUGAAAAGGAAGAACUAAUCUCAGCAACCACGACUAGAGCCCUCCAUCCUAUGGCCUCUGGCUUUCUUAAUUCUAACCCACAAGACAAAGGAAUUGAGCAAGUCCUCUGCAUCUUGCUCAAUCCCUGGGUUCUGCAUCCAUGGAUUGAACCAACCUUGCAUCAGCAAUCUUGGACGAAAAGCUGCCCCACCAUACUAAACGUGUGUGUUGACUUUUCCUUUUGUAUUUAUUCCCUAAACAGAGU
rnacentral:lncRNA from 1 species